rnacentral:rRNA from 1 species
AUGCUUCCGAUGUGUUCAUUCAACGUCCUUGGGCUCCUCUUCUUCGGCACCCAGAUGAGGCGCGAUGGCGACACCCAGGAAUGCCAAGAUAUUCGCAGUGGGAAACGUUAUGUAGAUCCACCGUUUGUUGGAAGGAAUGUUCGGCCUGCACUAGAAGAAUUGAUUGAUCCUUGUCUUGUUGCUGUUAGAGUUGCAUCUGAUGUGGAAGUUCUGUAUCGUCCGAAUUUCAUUACUGGUUGGUUGUCUGGUUCCUCGCGUGGAUCGACUCCUUCUGGCUCACGCCCAGUAUGGUGGAUAUGUGGUGGCCGUUGCAGUCGUACGUCCCCGUGA